GUCAUAGCUUAGUGGAAAAGCACCUGUGUUGCAUGCAGGGGGUUUCAGGUUCAAUUCCCGGUAUUUGCA